rnacentral:misc_RNA from 1 species
CCACUGGCCCAGAAAUAUGGAGAGACUCAAGAGGGAAAGUUGAUGCCCUGGUUGCAGGGAUCGGUACAGGUGGUACUGCAACUGGAGCUGGAAGAUUCCUCAAGGAGAAAAACAAAGAGAUUAAGGUGUAUGGUAUAGAACCAGUAGAAAGUGCAGUCUUGAGUGGAGGAAAACAUGGCCCGCAUCUGAUCCAAGGAAUUGGAGCUGGUAUCAUCCCUAGUGUUUUGGAC